rnacentral:tRNA from 1 species
GGAACGGUAACUCAAAUGGCUAAGAGUGCUGGAUUGUCUAUCCAGAAGUUGCGGGUUCAAGUCCCGUCCGUUCCGCCA